AUGUUCAAGCUGGUUUUUGAAAAGGCAGAGGAACCAGAGAUCAUGCCAACAUCUGCUAGAUCAUGGAAAAAGCAAAAAAACAUCUAUUUCUGCUUUAUUGACUAUGCCAAAGCCUUUGACUGUGUGGAUCACAAGAAACUGUGGAAAAUUCUGAAAGAGAUGGGAAUACCAGACCACCUAACCGGCCUCUUGAGAAAUCUGUAUGCAGGUCAGGAAGCAACAGUUAGAACUGGACAUGGAACAACAGACUGGUUCCAAAUAGGAAAAGGAGUACGUCAAGGCUGUAUAUUGUCACCCUGCUUAUUUAACUUCUAUGCAGAGAACAUCAUGAGAAACGCUGGACUGGAAGAAAUACAAGCUGGAAUCAAGAUUGCUGGGAGAAAUAUCAAUAACCUCAGAUAUGCAGAUGACACCACCCUUAUGGCAGAAAGUGAAGAGGAGCUAAAAAGCCUCUUGAUGAAAGUGAAAGAGGAGAGCAAAAAAGUUGGCCUAAAGCUCAACAUUCAGAAAACGAAGAUCAUGGCAUCUGGUCCUAUCACUUCAUGGGAAAUAGAUGGGGAAACAGUGGAAACAGUGUCAGACUUUAUUUUUCUGGGCUCCAAAAUCACUGCAGAUGGUGACUGCGGCCAUGAAAUUAAAAGAUGCUUACUCCUUGGAAGAAAAGUUAUGACCAACCUAGAUAGCAUAUUCAAAAGCAGAGACAUUACUUUGCCAACUAAGGUCUGUCUAGUCAAGGCUAUGGUUUUUCUUGUGGUCAUGUAUGGAUGUGAGAGUUGGACUGUGAAGAAAGCUGAGCACCGAAGAAUUGAUGCGUUUGAACUGUGGUGUUGGAGAAGACUGUUGAGAGUCCCUUGGACUCCAAGGAGAUCCAACCAGUCCAUUCUGAAGGAGAUCAACCCUGGGAUUUCUUUGGAAGGAAUGAUGCUAAAGCUGAAACUCGAGUACUUUGGCCACCUCAUGCGAAGAGUUGACUCAUUGGAAAAGACUCUGAUGCUGGGAGGGAUUGGGGGCAGGAGGAGAAGGGGAUGA
rnacentral:lncRNA from 1 species